rnacentral:rRNA from 1 species
GGACUACCGGGGUUUCUAAUCCUGUUUGCUACCCACGCUUUCGUGUCUCAGCGUCAGUUACGGUCCAGAGAGCCGUCUACACCACCGGUGUUCCUCCUGAUAUCUACGCAUUUCACCGCUACACCAGGAAUUCCACUCUCCUCUCCCGCACUCGAGUCCUUCAGUAUUCGGCGCACCCUCCCAGUUGAGCCGGGAGAUUUCACACCAAACUUAGAGAACCGCCUACACACCCUUUACGCCCAGUAACUCCGAACAACGCUUGCUGCCUACGUAUUACCGCGGCGGCUGGCAC